rnacentral:rRNA from 1 species
UACGUAGGGCGCAAGCGUUAUCCGGAAUUACUGGGCGUAAAGGGCUCGUAGGCGGCCAACUAAGUCGGACGUGAAAUCCCUCGGCUUAACCGGGGAACUGCGUCCGAUACUGGAUGGCUUGAGUUCGGGAGAGGGAUGCGGAAUUCCAGGUGUAGCGGUGAAAUGCGUAGAUAUCUGGAGGAACACCGGUGGCGAAGGCGGCAUCCUGGACCGACACUGACGCUGAGGAGCGAAAAGCCAGGGGAGCAAAGCGGGG